UGAUCCUGGCUCAGGAUGAACGCUGGCGGCGUGCCUAAUACAUGCAAGUCGAACGAAACUUCUUUAUCACCGAGUGCUUGCACUCACCGAUAAAGAGUUGAGUGGCGAACGGGUGAGUAACACGUGGGCAACCUGCCCAAAAGAGGGGGAUAACACUUGGAAACAGGUGCUAAUACCGCAUAACCAUAGUUACCGCAUGGUAACUAUGUAAAAGGUGGCUAUGCUACCGCUUUUGGAUGGGCCCGCGGCGCAUUAGCUAGUUGGUGGGGUAAAGGCUUACCAAGGCAAUGAUGCGUAGCCGAACUGAGAGGUUGAUCGGCCACAUUGGGACUGAGACACGGCCCAAACUCCUACGGGAGGCAGCAGUAGGGAAUCUUCCACAAUGGGCGAAAGCCUGAUGGAGCAACGCCGCGUGGGUGAAGAAGGUCUUCGGAUCGUAAAACCCUGUUGUUAGAGAAGAAAGUGCGUGAGAGUAACUGUUCACGUUUCGACGGUAUCUAACCAGAAAGCCACGGCUAACUACGUGCCAGCAGCCGCGGUAAUACGUAGGUGGCAAGCGUUAUCCGGAUUUAUUGGGCGUAAAGGGAACGCAGGCGGUCUUUUAAGUCUGAUGUGAAAGCCUUCGGCUUAACCGGAGUAGUGCAUUGGAAACUGGGAGACUUGAGUGCAGAAGAGGAGAGUGGAACUCCAUGUGUAGCGGUGAAAUGCGUAGAUAUAUGGAAGAACACCAGUGGCGAAAGCGGCUCUCUGGUCUGUAACUGACGCUGAGGUUCGAAAGCGUGGGUAGCAAACAGGAUUAGAUACCCUGGUAGUCCACGCCGUAAACGAUGAAUGCUAAGUGUUGGAGGGUUUCCGCCCUUCAGUGCUGCAGCUAACGCAAUAAGCAUUCCGCCUGGGGAGUACGACCGCAAGGUUGAAACUCAAAGGAAUUGACGGGGGCCCGCACAAGCGGUGGAGCAUGUGGUUUAAUUCGAAGCAACGCGAAGAACCUUACCAGGUCUUGACAUCUUUUGACAAUCCUAGAGAUAGGACUUUCCCUUCGGGGACAAAAUGACAGGUGGUGCAUGGUUGUCGUCAGCUCGUGUCGUGAGAUGUUGGGUUAAGUC
rnacentral:rRNA from 1 species